GACGAACGCUGGCGGCGUGCCUAAUACAUGCAAGUCGAGCGCAGGAAAUCAUCCGAACCCUUCGGGGGGACGUUGAUGGAAUGAGCGGCGGACGGGUGAGUAACACGUAAAGAACCUGCCCUCAGGUCUGGGAUAACCACGAGAAAUCGGGGCUGAUACCGGAUGGGUCAUCGGACCGCAUGGUCCGAGGAUGAAAGGCGCUUCGGCGUCGCCUGGGGAUGGCUUUGCGGUGCAUUAGCUAGUUGGUGGGGUAAUGGCCCACCAAAGCGACGAUGCAUAGCCGACCUGAGAGGGUGAUCGGCCACACUGGGACUGAGACACGGCCCAGACUCCUACGGGAGGCAGCAGUAGGGAAUCUUCCACAAUGGACGAAAGUCUGAUGGAGCAACGCCGCGUGAACGAUGAAGGCCUUCGGGUCGUAAAGUUCUGUUGUAAGGGAAGAACAAGUGCCGCAGGCAAUGGCGGCACCUUGACGGUACCUUGCGAGAAAGCCACGGCUAACUACGUGCCAGCCGCCGCCGUAA
rnacentral:rRNA from 1 species